UUUCCGCUUUCUCUAAAAUUUCGAACCCAGACCUCCAGACCUAGCCUCCUUCUCCAAGCUGACCUGCAUCGACUCCCGAUCUCCUUCUCCAAGCUGACCUGCGUCGACUCCCGACCUCAUUCUCCAACCUAAGCCUACUGGAGCCGCCUCCAACCUGACCCCGAGUCCCCGACCUCGCUCUUUGACCCCGAGUUCCCCUGCCUCGCUCUGACCCCGAGUCCCCGAUCUAGUUUUCCAGACCUCGAGCUUGAGCUCCGAUCUGACCUCGAGCUUAUUAGCCGACCUGAGCUUGUCAUUCUCCAACAGGAAGAUCGGGAGUUGAAGGUUUUCAAGAAGGAAGAAAGGAUAGGAGCAGGGUAUUUUGCAUGUUUUCGUUCUUCUAAAGUCUGCUAAACCCAUUGAUGGUGCUGCAAGAAAGAGGUACAAACCAAGACCCAUGAGGGCUGAAAGAGGCAAUGAGUUGCAUAAUGGGAAGUUGAUUGUGCAGAAUUGCGGAUUUCGGAGUUGGCCUGAUGGGAUUCAGUCAAUGGCUCUCUCGCUAUUUCCUUUAUCAAUAAUGUUGGGGUUGAUUGAUUUUGAUUACAGUUUGUAAUUUGAUGUUUCAACAGUCUGCUGUGGGGUUGCUUAUAAAUUUAACGCAUAGACAUCUACUUACAGUUUUAGAGAAAUUUGUUCUGCAAUUUUAAUUGGAUAGUGAGAAAUGUGAUUGGGGAAGUUCAGUUUGUUGGAUUGGGGGUGUGAGAUUAUUGUUUGAUUCGUUAAAUUAGAGGUUGUUGAAAAUUAUAUUCGGACAUCUAUUUGCCGUUAUGCAGAUUAUAUUUAUUCUCUGUUUUAUAACAAUUUUGGUGUUUAAUGGUUCUGUUUCUGAUUCUGCCAAUUAGUUUUUUGUUUUUUUCUGUGGAGGUUUUAGUUUUUAGAUUAUAUAUAGUACUUGAUUUCUUGGUUAUUGAUGUUUUGAGUUUAGCUAGAUUAUAAAGCAUGAAAUUGAUGUUUUGAUACUUUUUAUCUUUCAGAGUUAAUCUUUAUGUCAAUGAAAUACUCCAAAGCUUACCAACAUUUAGGAAUCUCAAUCAUUUGAACUUGGACCUCUAUUCAUAUUGAACUAAACGUGAAGAUGUUGAUCUGGUGCCUGAUUCCAAAUUCUAACAAGACUGAUAAGGCUUCAAUGCUGGAUGAAGCAGUUGAGUAUUUGAAGCAGCUCCAGCUUCAAGUACAGAGGGGAGAAAGGAAGAAACAGAAGAAGGGGGAGAAAGGAAGAAACAGAAGAAGGGGGAGACGGGAAGGACAGAAGAGGCAGGGAAAUCCAAAAGACGAGAAGAACUGCUCUACUUCACAGAUUCAAGGAAUCCAAAGAAAAAGGAAACUCCACAUAUCACUGUUCAUGAUUAGAAGUGGCUACUUAGCAUAGUUGCAACACAUAUCCUACGAAAGUAAGCUUCUGAGGACUAUCUUUGUUGAAAAAUUACCGGUGAAGGUGAAGAAGAAGGUCUUGAUCAGGGAGUUCAUUAAGUUUGAAGAGGUGGAGCCUGUGAGGAUUUGAUCUGAGCCGAUAGAGGAUAAAAGUAGCGGAAACUUAUAAAGAAACUCCAUAAGAAAGCUAACAGGUCAACGCUAGCAGAUCAAAGCGGCAACUUCAAUUUUGUCUGGAGCCUUAGGACUAUCACAGUGGUAAGAGCAAAGGUUCAAUGUUGUGGUCAUUGAGCUUGCAAAACCCCUCACUGCUUACUACCAAGGACUGAACCCAAUCUGGAUCAAUUUUGAGUGAUAUUGGUGGGA